CUGCAUUCAAGCACAACUCCGAUCUGCAUUGUAGAACCAUGCAUUCACAUUAACAUACAACUUAGACUCAGAACUCACAUACAUAUGCUAAAACUUGACACAAUUAGAUUUGAACAUUUACACACACUCACACUAGAUUCAUACUUUUGCAUUAACACACACAAAUGCUAUAGAGAAAAAACAAUGACAUUUACUGAUAUACAAUUACAGUCAGCAUUACAUAAUUCCUCCAUGC